rnacentral:rRNA from 1 species
AUUGAACGCUGGCGGCAUGCCUUACACAUGCAAGUCGAACGGCAGCACGGGAGCAAUCCUGGUGGCGAGUGGCGAACGGGUGAGUAAUAUAUCGGAACGUGCCCAGUCGUGGGGAUAACGUAGCGAAAGCUACGCUAAUACCGCAUACGUCCUACGGAUGAAAGCAGGGGACCGCAAGGCCUUGCGCGGACGGAGCGGCCGAUGGCAGAUUAGGUAGUUGGUGGGGUAAAGGCUCACCAAGCCAACGAUCUGUAGCUGGUCUGAGAGGACGACCAGCCACACUGGAACUGAGACACGGUCCAGACUCCUACGGGAGGCAGCAGUGGGGAAUUUUGGACAAUGGGCGCAAGCCUGAUCCAGCAAUGCCGCGUGCAGGAUGAAGGCCUUC